rnacentral:rRNA from 1 species
UACGUAGGGACCAAGCGUUGUUCGGAUUUACUGGGUGUAAAGGGCGCGUAGGCGGCGCGGUAAGUCACUUGUGAAAUCUCUGAGCUUAACUCAGAACGGCCAAGUGAUACUGCAGUGCUAGAGUGUGGAAGGGGCAAUCGGAAUUCUUGGUGUAGCGGUGAAGUGCGUAGAUAUCAAGAGGAACACCUGAGGUGAAGACGGGUUGCUGGGCCAACACUGACGCUGAGGCGCGAAAGCCAGGGGAGCAAACGGG